rnacentral:tRNA from 44 species
GGGCGGUUAGCUCAGUGGUAGAGCACUGCCUUCACACGGCAGGGGUCACUGGUUCGAACCCAGUACCGCCCACCA